GUGCCAGCAGCCGCGGUAAUACCGGCAGCCCGAGUGAUGGCCGAUAUUAUUGGGCCUAAAGCGUCCGUAGCUGGCCGAACAAGUCCGUCGGGAAAUCCACGCGCUCAACGCGUGGGCGUCCGGUGGAAACUGCACGGCUUGGGGCCGAGAGACUCGACGGGUACGUCCGGGGUAGGAGUGAAAUCCUGUAAUCCCGCUCGGACCGCCGAUGGGGAAACCACCUCAGGAGAACGGAUCCGACAGUGAGGGACGAAAGCCAGGGUCUCGAACCGGAUUAGAAACCCCGGUAGUCC
rnacentral:rRNA from 1 species